CAAUUUUUGUUUACGAAUACAAAUAACUGAAAUAAUCCAACAACCUCUGAUUAUGCGUUUCUGUAGGAUGGAGUUCCUUUGGAUGAUCCUGACACUCUGCGCCCUGGUCAAAACCAACCCAGCAGACGUAAUCACGAACGGACCCCCUACGGGAAUCGUUCUCCGCGACGAGCCAGGACUCCUCAUAACUAACUGCAGAGUACACACGCAGAGGGUAUAUAUCCGCCUAGAGGCAGAGAAUGUGUACCGCCAACACAUUCCACCUGCGGCGCAUUUGAGUUGGGCCGGGGCUGACUGGACCAGCCAGGCAAUUAAGCACGCCCAGCUAGACACUGCCCAUAUGUUGGCCCAACUCCAAAAGUUCACAGUAACCCAGUCAGAACUAGCUGAGCCCAGGCGAGAAAAACGAUUCGUCGGGGCGCUACUAUCGAUAGGGGCAGCCGUAGGGUCACUAUUUGCCCUAGGUACCACUGCCGUCAACGCAGUCAGUCUAGCCACAGUCAAGAGGAAUGUUAGGGAGAUUACUGAAGAGAUGCCACUUAUCCAGCAGCAGAUGAAGACACAGGCCCUUAGGUUGCAACAUGUGGGAAAGUCUCUCCAGGACACUAUUCUGGUGGUCAACACACACGCUACUCUCCUGAACAAAACUAUCCUGUCUGUAGGAAAGCUAGCAGAGGUCAUGAACCAUGACUAUGCCCAUGUCCAAUUGGUUCGAUUGUUACUGGAGGAUUUUCUCCGUGAAGUUAGCUCUUCUAUUGACCACUUGGCCAUGAAUAGAAUCCCCUCAUAUCUAGUGCCCCUCUCAAUGGUGCACGACAUAUUGACCUCAGCUACUUCAACCACACUAAGGCCGUUACAAUCACAUUUGGCCUAUAGUCUGGGGUCGGCCAUCCCAAUACACGUUGAUGUUGAUCGUAAUGAAGUGGGUUUUCUACUGACGCUGCCGGUUGUUGAACUGGAGAAUAUCUAUAGAUUGAAAACGGUUCUCAAUGUAGGAUUUUGGCGCGACAGUACCCACGUAAAGAUUGCCACGCCCCCAGUUGUAGCUUACCAGGAAAACAACCCAGAUUUCUAUCUCACCCCUAACCUGCUAAUGUGUACUCUAACCAAAGAUGUCCACUACCUUUGUCCUAGCAAACCAUUUGUCAGGGAUAACACUGAGCGUCUUUGUGGUAUUAAAGCUAUCACCAGCGAAGAACGCUGUAGAGCCAAACUAACAGCCAGGGAUGGGGCCACCACCACACAAGUGGAGGUGGUAGGGAACCGAUGGUUGGUCAACACACCGUUCGCGUCCGCCACUAUGACUCC
ensembl:lncRNA